rnacentral:rRNA from 1 species
ACAUUGCCCGGAGAUGGAUUCUGAGACACGAAUCCAGACCCUACGGGGUGCAGCAGGCGCGAAAACUUGGCAAUGCGAGCAAUCGUGACCAGGGAACUCCAAGUGCGUAGGGUAAGACCUACGCUUUUCUUGACUCUUCAAAGGUCUUGGAAUAAGGGGUGGGUAAGGACGGUGCCAGCCGCCGCGGUAAUACCGGCGCCUCAAGUGGUAGUCGCUUUUAUUGGGCCUAAAACGUCCGUAGCCGGUCUGGUGCAUUCGUGGGUAAAUCAACCCGCUCAACGGGUUGAAUUCUGCGAGCACGGCCAGACUUGGGACCGGGAGAGGUGUGGGGUACUCUCAGGGUAGGGGUAAAAUCCUGUCAUCCUGAGAGGACCACCUGUUGCGAAGGCGCCACACUAGAACGGAUCCGACGGUCAGGGACGAAACCUAGGGGCACGAACCGGAUUAGAUACCCGGGUAGUCCUAGGUGUAAACGCUGUGGACUUGAUGUUGGGGGCGCUCCGAGCGCUCUCAGUGUCGAAGCGAAGGUGAUAAGUCCACUGCCUGGGGAGUACGGUCGCAAGGCUGAAACUUAAAGGAAUUGGCGGGGGAGCACUGCAACCUGAGGAUUGUGCGGUUUAAUUGGAUUCAACGCCGGGA